GCAUAAGCAGUAGAAGAGCAGGAGAGAGAACCAAAGGUUUUGUCAACUCGAACUCUGAAACUGUCUUCCAUUGCUGAUUUUUGAAGCUUAUUGAGUUUGUUGCAGACUUUAACCAACUGGGGUCUGGGGGAUAAUUUAAGGAAAAUGAAUAAGUGUCCAUUUUUUUUAAAUAGCGUUAACUUUAUAAGUGUCCACUUAUUUUUCUCAUUUUUCCAUACUACAAACUUUUGUAUAAGGCGGUCUUUUCUGUAAGACCACCUUAUACUGGGUUAUAUUCGCGGGUCAUUAACUAUGGAUAUGGGUCACGAAUUUUUCUUUUCGGAUCAUUUAAAAACCUGAUUUACCCCAUCCCAAACCCUAAUUCAUUUUCUCUCUCCUCACAAACUCCUCGCCAUUCUUUCUCCUAAAAACUCCUCGCCAUUCUCUCUCCUAGUCUGUGGCUCUCUCCAUGAGUACUCAAUAUGGGAGGCGACAUAGAUUCCGGCGACCGAAACCUUGCGGUGGUGGCGAGCUUGUGGUGGCCUUGCGCGGGUCGAGGCAGAGGCAAGAGAGACGGAGGUGCGGCGGUGGACCACGACGGAGGUGCGGCGGUGGACCACGAUGGAGAAAAGGAGGAGGUAGCGGCGGUGCUUUUGAUUAAUGUUGCAGGAGGACUCGUUGAUGACGGAGCUCCGGCGACAAGCUAGGGUUCCAGCGAACAACCAUAACAAGGAGAGAAAAGUCUUGCGGUGGCCGAAGCAGAGGUGGAAUGCGGAUUCCUAGCGGUAGGGCAGCCGGAGGUAAUGUCAUCCGCCGAGAAGGACGACCAAUACGCCUCAUUCGUCUCCGACGCCUGCCUAUACUUUCCGUCGUCUCUUCGGUUUUGAUUUUUAGCCAACAAACAUGGCAUGAAGGAAAAACACAGGUCCCUGCGGCCGGCGUCGCCAUCAACUUCUGAUAUGUGUGGCCAGAUCUCGUUCGUGUCCUUUGUUUUUGGCUCAUGUUGUUCGACUUGCAGUGGUGGCGUAUGGUUGUGUGGUGUUGUUGCUGCUGCGAUGAGAAGGCAGGUAGAGGAGUUGAAGCGCGGUGGACGGUGGUGCUUGGCUGGUCUCCAUCGAGUUGCUCACUUGCUCCUGAGAAUUAUUUUAGUUAAAUUUUUGUUAUACUUAGUUAAGAAAUAAAAUGGUUUAGUUAGAUUCUUUUCCUCCAAUUAUGUCAAUUAAUGUUUUAGUUGUAACUAAAGUGGUUUUAGUUAACAUUUAUUUCGUUUUUGUUAAGAAUAAUUUCAUUUUAGUUAUGAAUAAAAUUCUGAAGUU